rnacentral:tRNA from 1 species
GGGCCGUUAGCUCAGUUGGUAGAGCGUCUGCGUGGCACGCAGGAGGUCGCGGGUUCGACCCCCGCACGGUCCA